AAGUUGCACGUGAAGGCGUCACUCUUAAGAUGAUGAGGCAGCGCCUUAUGCGUAGGGACAAGAAAGUACGCCAGCUGAAAGAGGAUAUAUCCGUUCUGCAUGCAAACACAGCUGCAACUGAGGUUUCGGUGCUUGAGAGCAAGAUUAAAGACCUACCUCCCAAGCAGCAACUGGCAGUCAAACACUGCUUUCAGUCAGCUCAGCGGAAGUCCAACAAAGGGAUGCCAUACACAAAGGACUGGGUUCUUGAAUGUAUUAUCAUGAGGAUGAAGAGUCCUAGAUUAUACGAGCACCUUCGACGACAUAAAAUCCUGUGCCUUCCUAGCCCCACAACACUGCGUAGCUACUUGAAAAACUAUAAAAGUGGAUUUGGGUUCAACCCAAACUUAUUCUCUGCCCUUGCAAAAAAGACUGCCACAAUGCAGGAAUUUGAAUGCCAUGGUGGGAUCGUUUUGGA